GACGAACGCUGGCGGCGCGCUUAAUACAUGCAAGUCGAACGAGAAGCCAGAGCUUGCUCUGGUGGAAAGUGGCGAACGGGUGAGUAACACGUGAGAAACCUGCCCCAAAGAUUGGGAUAAGCCUUGGAAACGAGGUCUAAUACCAAAUACCUUCUUUUUAACACAUGUUAAAAAGAAGAAAUGCUCCGGCGCUUUGGGAUGGUCUCGCGAUCUAUCAGCUUGUUGGUGAGGUAACGGCUCACCAAGGCAUCGACGGAUAGCUGGUCUGAGAGGAUGUCCAGCCACAUUGGAACUGAGACACGGUCCAAACUCCUACGGGAGGCAGCAGUAGGGAAUCUUGCACAAUGAGGGAAACCUUGAUGCAGCGACGCCGCGUGCGGGACGAAGGCCCUAAGGGUUGUAAACCGCUUUCAGUAGGGACGAAAGUGACGGUACCUACAGAAGAAGCCCCGGCCAACUAUGUGCCAGCAGCCGCGGUAAU
rnacentral:rRNA from 1 species